rnacentral:pre_miRNA from 1 species
UUUAUAUGACGCCGUGUCCACGUUUGACCAUUCGUCUUAUUCAAAAAAGUUAUAAUUAUUAAUUAUUUUGCUAUAAUAUGAUUUAUUAUUAUAGAAACUUUAAUUAUGCAUUAUAAUUUUGCAUAUUUGGAUAUAAAUUUUGAAUAAGACGAAUGGUCAAACGUGAUUCUAAAAGUUAACGGUGUCAUACAUA